rnacentral:lncRNA from 1 species
GGACUUCGGACGCAGGAUGCUGCAUCAUCUGUGGCGCAGUCAACUGAUCUCUACGAAGAGCCGCAGUGCCAUACCAUUUGUCGUGUGCGUUUCGAGCCUGGCUGUGUGGACGCCGGCGCAGAGGUCGCCUGGUUGUGUGCAAGUGUAUGCCGUCGGCGACGGAAGGGAGCGUACACCGUGCGGCCAAGCGACACGGCGCUCUGUACGUGCCCGUCGUCAAGUGCAUGAGCGGAGGACCCCGCGCAGCGCGGGGUGCGUGGCAUGACGUGAGCUCUUAUUGGCUGUGCGC